rnacentral:rRNA from 1 species
GUGCCAGCCGUCGCGGUAAUUCGUAAAAGACUAGUGUUAUUCAUCUUUAAUAGGUUUAAAGGGUACUUAGACGGUAAAUAAAGCCCGAAUAGGGAACUAAUAUACUAGAGUUUGAUGUAAGGAAGCAUGAAAGUACUGUUGGUGUAGAGAUAAAAUUCUAUCAUACCAAAUAUGGCACAGGUUUAGGCGAAAGCAUCUUCUUAUGUAAUAACUGACGUUGAAGGACGAAGGCUUUGUGUCUCGAACAGGAUUAGAUACCCCAGUAGUCUAAGCAGACAAUGAUGAAUGUCAUAGAUUAGAUUUAAUUAAAUUUAUUCUAUAAAUGAAAGUGUAAGCAUUCCACCUCAAGAGUAAUUUGGCAACAUUGGAACUGAAAUCAUUAGACCGUUUCUGAAACCAGUAGUGAAGUAUGUUGUUUAAUUAGAAGAUACGCAAAAAACCUUACCACAAUUUGAAUUAAUAAUAUGUUUUCACAAGCGUUGCACGGCUGUCAA